rnacentral:rRNA from 1 species
AGUGAACGCUGGCGGUAGGCCUAACACAUGCAAGUCGAACGGCAGCACAGUAAGAGCUUGCUCUUACGGGUGGCGAGUGGCGGACGGGUGAGGAAUACAUCGGAAUCUACUUUUUCGUGGGGGAUAACGUAGGGAAACUCACGCUAAUACCGCAUACGACCUACGGGUGAAAGCAGGGGAUCUUCGGACCUUGCGCGAUUGCAUGAGCCGAUGUCGGAUUAGCUAGUUGGCGGGGUAAAGGCCCACCAAGGCGACGAUCCGUAGCUGGUCUGAGAGGAUGAUCAGCCACCAUGGAACUGAGACACGGUCCAGACUCCUACGGGAGGCAGCAGUGGGGAAUAUUGGACAAUGGGCGCAAGCCUGAUCCAGCCAUACCGCGUGGGUGAAGAAGGCCUUCGGGUUGUAAAGCCCUUUUGUUGGGAAAGAAAAGCAGCAGGUUAAUACCCCGCUGUUCUGACGGUACCCAAAGAAUAAGCACCGGCUAACUUCGUG